CCUACGGGGGGCAGCAGUGGGGGAUAUUGCACAAUGGGGGAAACCCUGAUGCAGCGACGCCGCGUGAGCGAUGAAGUAUUUCGGUAUGUAAAGCUCUAUCAGCAGGGAAGAAAAUGACGGUACCUGACUAAGAAGCCCCGGCUAACUACGUGCCAGCAGCCGCGGUAAUACGUAGGGGGCAAGCGUUAUCCGGAUUUACUGGGUGUAAAGGGAGCGUAGACGGCAGUGCAAGUCUGAAGUGAAAGGCAAGGGCUCAACCCUUGGACUGCUUUGGAAACUGUGCUGCUCGAGUGUCGGAGAGGCAA
rnacentral:rRNA from 1 species